rnacentral:lncRNA from 1 species
AUCUGUAAGUGAGUAGAUGAUAGCGCCUUCCUAAUAGUGUUGGGAUGCCUAGUGUGCUUUGUUCUGGCAAUGGCGGUAUUUCGCAGCCUCCUUUCCUUCUGCACCCUCGACUUCUCCAGGACUGUGUGGAGGUGGAGGCAGUGACCCCUUGGCUCCUGGCAGCAGGGCCCUAUAGAGAGCUCCGCUAGUGUCUAAUCAUGGAGACAAGCAGGAUGCUGGAAACCUGGAGGCCAGACUCAGCGGCCUUGCCGGGCAUGCCGGGAGCCCGUGGGCGAGUCCUUUACUCCUAGUGAGGCAGGUGAGUGUGCGGUGCCGGAAAGGACUCAGCUCACCAGUCACCUGGGUUCUCACCUAAUGCGGUGGUUCUCUGCCUUGACUUCGUCCUAAAAUCACCUAAGAUCCUUCCCCAAAUUAGCUUGUCUGGACAGAAGGGCGUAGAAGAGCCCUCGGCAAGUUUUGAACUCCCCUGACAUGUUAACGUGCCGCCAGGGUUGGGAGACACUAUCUUGCAAGUGAAGGCUCUGGGCAGAAAUUCUGGCUCUUCUGGUGGCUACUGGCUUGUUAGGAACAAGUUCCUGAACUCUCUCUCUGCUUCAAUUUUUCUCUCUGUAAAAUGAGGAUAAUUACUGGCCUUCUCUCUGUCUUAGUGCUGUGGAAAUCAGAGAUAUUCAAUGUAAAGGGC